rnacentral:rRNA from 1 species
CACGAACGCUGGCGGCAGGCCUAACACAUGCAAGUCGAGCGAGGUAGCAAUACCUAGCUGCGGACGGGUGAGUAACGCCUGGGAACGUGCCCCUUGGUACGGAAUAGCCCCGUGAAAAUGGGAGUAAUACCGUAUGAGCUCUACGGAGGACAGAUUUAUCGCCAAGUGAUCGGCCCGCGCUGGAUUUGGUUGUUGUUAGGGUAAUGUCCUACCAAGUCGACGAUCCAUGGCUGGUUUGAGAGGAGGAUCAGACACCCUGGCACUGAGGCGCGGCCGCGCCCCCUACGGUGGGCAGCAGGAGGGAAUCUUAGGCCAGGGAGGCAAGCCUAAUCUAGCCAUGGCGCGUGAGCGAUGCAGGCCUUAGGGUGGUAAAGCUCUGACGGCUGGCAAGAUAAUGACUGUACCAGCAGAAGAAGCCCCGGCUAACUCCGUGCCAGCCGCCGCAGUAA